rnacentral:rRNA from 1 species
UACGUAGGGUGCAAGCGUUAAUCGGAAUUACUGGGCGUAAAGCGUGCGCAGGCGGCUUUGCAAGACAGAUGUGAAAUCCCCGGGCUUAACCUGGGAACUGCAUUUGUGACUGCAUGGCUGGAGUGCGGCAGAGGGGGAUGGAAUUCCGCGUGUAGCAGUGAAAUGCGUAGAUAUGCGGAGGAACACCAAUGGCGAAGGCAGCCCCCUGGGUCAACACUGACGCUCAUGCACGAAAGCGUGGGGAGCAAACAGG